AAGGAUUUGGGCUGGGUCAGAACUGGAAAUGGGUAUUGGGUAGAGGUUGAAGUUUGGUGAGGACAGAGGGUGAGGUGGGGGACAGGUUUUGGUUGAGUUUGAAAGUGAGGUUCACAGGUGAUAGAGUUGGGUUGGAUUUGGAAUGAGUGCUGAGAUUUGGAAAGGGGUUGGGGAUGGUAGUGGGGAUGGUUUGGAGAUGGGAAAGAGAUAAAAUGGGAACGGGGGGUGGGGAUGUGGAGAGGUGGCAGGUGAACUGGAGGCUGGUAUUGGGGCUGGAGAUGAGGUUGUGUUGUAGGAAGUUCAUAUUUUUUAUUGAGAUUGAUCAGAGAUUUGGAGGGAGAUAGAACUGGGAUGGGCAAUGUAUGUGAGGAUGAGGAUGGUGUUGGAAUGUGGUGGGGAAGGGGUUGGAUAUCAUCAUGGGCACUGGGCAAGGUACUCCUCGCCUUGGUUCCUGAGGGAUAAAUCUCUCUGCCAUGCCUGUCAGGAUGCUGAUGAUGACGUUGGAGAAGUCCAGCACAGGUAAGUUGGAGCUGGUGAAGAAGACGAUGUUUAUGAGCAUGAUGCAGAGGCAGAAGCCGGCAAUACUGGCGAGGAUGAGAAAGGCCCAGGCAAAGUCCAACAAGUCUGGGGAAGGAAGAAAAUCAGAACACCAAGAGGCCCUCCGACUGAGCAUGGGGGGACAGGGUCCCCCAUGAGGCUGGGAGUAUUCCUGAACCCUCUCCCUUGCAAAUUUUUCUUUCUCAUUUUAAGAAAAUUGAAAUUGGGCUGUAGAGAAGGGAUAUUAAGGCAGAUGUCUUUAGCAUUGAGGGCACACCUCUGGGUCAGUGAGAACAGUGUCUUGGGCAGUGAGAAGAAGAGUGGGAAUUGAGGAACCAGUUCUGUGUGAUGAGGAAAGAUUCCUUGGGGUGAAAAAGUCUCAGGAUAAUGUGUAAGAUCCUAGGGUUAAGAGGACUGUGGGGAUGGGUAUCAUGUAAUUGAAGGUGAGCAUAGGGCAAUGGGGAUGAUCCUGGGGCAAUGAGGACCAUCUGGAGGAAGGGAUGACUAUCCGGGGGUAGUGAGAACUAUCCCAGAGAAGGGAAGACUAACCCUGGGCAGUGAAGACCAUCCUAGAGAGGGCAGAGAAGGGUCCCUGGGACAAAGAAGAGAGAUGAGUCCCAGGAAGGGUGAGUAUAGGGCAGGCCUUACAAGCAUUCUGGUCGUACUCAUGAAGGCAGGAGAUGUCAGGGCACUGCACAAAGAAGAUGGUGUUGAUGGGGAUGGUCGAGGGGCCAUCAGGAUCCCCAGGGGGUGUCAAUGGAACCUGGAAGUGGAUCCAGGGCUGGCCCAGGGUGAUGAGACCGAUGAUCACCAUGCCAGCCAGGCUCAGUGCCAGGCUCACCUGACGGCUGAUCUUCUUGGCUCCAUGCAGCAGCCGCCAGCCCAUGGGCAGCUGUGAAUAGCUGCAUUUACUCCUUCUCUGACACCUGUAGCAGAUCGCCCACCACCAGGGUCAGCACUGAGUCCAGCCACCCAGCCCAGCCACCCCAGUCCAACUGCCAGACCAGACCAUGACCCACCCAGUGUAGCCUUCAGACUAUCUUCUCUACGUCCAUUCUCCCUGGCCUGUAUCCUUCAGGUCCUGCCUCUAGAUGUUUAGCCUCUAGGCUCCCUUGCCUCCAGAUCUAACUUCCAGACCCUGCCACCCCCAAGUUCAGUUCCUAGGUUGAAUUACAGGUCCAGCCUUUAUGUUAUGCCCUACCCAGGGUCAGCCUCACUUGGGUCCAACCUCUAGUUACCAGUAGACUGGCUUUGCUUCUGGUCGCUGACCUUUGACUACUGCCCUCCCCCAGAAUCCUAGCCCAGAACCUGGCCCACUGCCUGGACCCCUGCCUCUCACCCGCCAGAAUCCAUCUCAGCAGAUCUGCUUGAUCGUAUGCUCUGGAUAUUGUUGUCUAGAGCACUUGGGUUGUAUAGGGAGCUGUCCAUAGAGUCUUUGAAACUCUCCUGGGUGGUCCAGAUGAUUGAAUCAGUGCUUUUGACACUGGCCGUGGGGCUGUGAGUAAUUGAAGGGGGGACAUCGACUUUGGCCCGGAUUGGCAAUGUGAGGCAUUGAGUACUCAAACAAGGACUCUGACUUGUUGGAAGGUGGUCUUGGCUACGGACUUGACUACUAUUGUAGUUAAGGGACUCUACAUUGUUCAGGGAGACGUGAGGAAGUAAUAGAGAGUUUUGGAUGCUGAAGUGGCGAGUUUGGAGAAUUGGUGGAACAUCUUGGGUUUUCAAACGGUGACUGUAGAUAACUGAUGGUGUAUCUUGGAUACUGAGCCGAUGACCGCUCACAGUGGAUGGCGUGUCCUCAGUACUGACCCAGCAACUGUUGAUAAUGGGUGGCGCAUCUUGGAUACUGGCCCAGCGACUGUGGACUAGUGGAGGGUCUUGGAUGCUGACCCGGCGAUUGUGGAUAAUGGACAAGGGUUCUUGGAUGCUGACCCGGUGACUGUUGAUAAUGGGUGGGGGCCCUUGGAUGCUGGUCCGGCGAUUAUGGAUAAUGAGCGGGGGCUCUUGGAUGCUGACCCGGCGAUUAUGGAUAAUGGGCGGGGGCUCUUGGAUGCUGAUCCGGCCACUGUUGAUAAUGGGCUGAGAGUCUUGGAUUCUGACCUGGGGCCUGUAAGUAAUUGGUGGAGAGACUUCGGUCUCAUUUUGAGUAUUACUGGGAGCUCCUGGAAGGAAACCUGGCUGGGUGCUCUGGGGUCCAGACUGGGGCCUCUGGGACAUGUGGGGAUGCAGCGUAAGACCAGUCCCCAGAUGCACUAAACAGUCACCAACUGCUUUUAGCCCCUCUUUCCAGGCACCUCCAUGGCCACCUGGAAGUCUGUUGGUCUCCCUCCCAGGUUCAGGCUUGGCCCUUGGCGAUUUGGAUCUCUCUGACCCUUCUUCUGUGUUCUCUGGUCUCUCCUGCUGUCCACAGGCAGGCCUCAGGGCUUCAGUCUGGCCUGCAUCUGGGGUUGGGGGGGGAGGUUCCAUGACAGUUGGAGAGAUUCCAGGCGGUUGGGACAUUGGCCAUGGACUCAUGCUCUACCCUGUCAAAGGCUCUGUACCAGGUGAUGGAGGUGCAGUGGGAAAAAGAAGAGAUCUGUUCUCUACCUUCAAGGGGGUCUGUUCGGUAAGAUGGGCAGGGAAAAAGUAGUGAGAUAAGGGAUGCCAGUGAAGGAGACUUGCGUGUUGCACUGAUAAGGGAGCACUUGGUGGGCGACCUUGCCAAGAACUGAAGUUGGGCUGGGCUGGGGGGCUCAGGAUGGGAGAUGUGGGUGGAGUGACGUGGGAGGUGAGAUCUAAAGGGUGGCCAAGGCAGUCUGGGCACAGGUGGGAGAAGGGUGCCCCAGGCAGAAGGGGCAGCCUGGACCGCUUCUUGAAUUGCUGAGGUAGGAAAGCUCGCGGUGUGAGAGGAACCCUGUGAAGUCUCGUGUGGCUGGAGGUAAGUGAGUAGUGGGAGGGACGGGAUUUCCCUGCCGGUUGGGAAGUCUGGUAGGAUCACAGGGGGCUUGGUGAACGCAGGGCACGCCACUGGCAUUUUGUUCUGCUGGCACCAUGGGUCUUGGCCUCAUGAGCACACUGUGGAACCCACGUCGCAGUUGUCCGUGUCCCGGAUGGGGAUUUGUGACAGGGGUCUAGAGAAGCGGUCGAGGUCAAGGGCAGAGAUGGAGCUGGGGUUUGGGGAACAGGGACUGGAGGAUGGGGGUGGAGACAAAACACGUAGGUUUGGGCUCCGAAUGGGGUUGUGGGCGAAGGCUGGGCUGGACGUCAGGGUUAGAGAUGGGAGUGAGGGUGCAUUUGGGAUCAGAGAUGGGGAUGAGGUUGGGAUUGGGGUCUGGGUGGAGGUGGAGACUAGGCUGCAGCAGGGUGGUGUAGGUGGAUGUGGACCCGAGGAACUCUACUUUUUCCCAGCGGACAUGGUCUCUUCCUGGGAGGAGGACCGCAAGUUCAUCCUGCGGGGCUGGUCUCUGGUCUUCAGCAUCCUCGCAGCCCUGAUGAUGCUCAGCGUGGUGGAUGGACGUCUGGCGUACUUGCAGGGCUCUUACACUGGCUACCUGGGCUUCUGGACAGACUGCAGGAAGUACAAGUGUGUCAGCCUGGGCCAAGUCACCGUUGGUGUAAGCAAGACAAACAUGGUUUCAAGUUAUGGUAAAGUCCAGAGGCAUAGAUCUAUCGAGUUCAGGUACUGCUGGAUCCAGGUGCUCAAAGCCUGUCAUUAGGGAAUCUGUCUAUGAAGGCUUCCUCUGUGUGGGGCCCUCAGGCAAGCUGUGGUAAUGGGGCAUCAGCAGCACCCAGAUUCUGUCCUUUCUGUGAACGACCGUGGGGAAAAGAGAGCAAGUUGUCUUCUGGAGCCCUCAAGCAAAGAUCUCAGGAUGAGCUCUGAUGGGAUCAGAUUUACUUCCCUGGGAUUCUCCCUCCUCCCGCACCCGCACUGAAUAGGAAGAUGUCAUGCUGCGAUUGGCUGGGUCUGGAUCACACACUUUUCUUAAGAGUCAAUGGAGGGGUCAUUUCUGUCUGAAAGCACAAGGACAGAGGGUGGGCACAGAGUUCCUCUGAACAAAGUCAAGUUGCUGUUGUCAGAAGAAUGGGAAUGGAUGCUGGGUGGACAACUUUCUUCCAUAUUUAUGAUACAUUAAUGGAGCAAAAUUAUCCUGGGGUAGACGCCCAAGGGUGGAAUAGCAGGGUUUCUAAAGGGCUGAGGAGACUUUGUAAGGCUUUGAUAUGUCAGGAUUCUCAUGACAAGCAACAGAAGCCAAUUAAACCUGGUGUAAGCAGGAAAUGGAUUUAUAAACAAUGUUGCGGGAGUUUGAAGAACUCUGUGUGGCCAGAGAAUUGGGCUCCAGGGGCCAAGUGAUCGGGAACAUGCCCAAAAAAUUCCCUGGAGGACUGGCUGGCUGGGCAUUCAUACUACAGCUUGCUCUCUAGACCUGGACUCCACUGGGGAACCUCUUUCUCGGAUGCCCUGGGACUCUGGAGGUAGCAGUGGCCACACCUACCAGAAGAGAGUCCAUACCUACCAGAAGAGAGUCCAUGCCUACCUCUGGCUGUGAAUUCCAAGUCUAGCGUGGCUCUUCUUUAUUGGUGGAUCCUGGUCACGUGCUGAGGUCUUCGCCUUAAGGGAGGCUGGUUUCCUUACUGGAAAGUGUGGAUGCAUACAUUGGGGAAAAUUCCCCAAACGUGGACUGGUUUCCAAAGGUGCUGGGAAGACAAAAAAAGAGAGUUCUUAUCCAUAUGAGCAUGGGCUUCAUGAUGCUGGCCCUGACCCUGUGUCUCAUCCUCCUCCCCUUCAUGUGCCUCUCCUUCCGGCCAGUCUUCCGACGCCUUACUAAGAUCGACCUUGUCUUCAGUUUUCUCAGCUUCAGCACUGGUAAGUGUCGGCCUGGGGGGAGGGAAGAUACCCCCAGUGUCUUGCCCCAGGACUCUCUUUUUGGCUUUGGAGAGGUGAAUCUCAAGAUUUCUGUCCUGCUGACUCUGUCUUUGAACGUCUCUUGGGAUCUCUGCCCCACUCUUUCAGCUCUAUUUUUAAAUUUCUCAGUCGGGGUGAGUCUCGGGGGCAUCUGUCUCUCCUUCCUGCUUCCCUCUUUUUCUUUCUGCUUCUCUCCGGGUGUCUUUGUGUCUGCACAGGAGUUUGUGUGCCUGUAUGCACACACACCUGCUUGUCACGGAGGGUGGGAGGGGAGAGGCUGUCUCUGUCUCUCUUCUCUUUAUGGGGGUAUCCUGGGGUUCCUGUCCAGCCUUUGUGUCCGUCUCUCCGGCUCCACCCCAGUGCAGGGUUCCUCAUCGUUCUCAGUCUGACGCUCUUUGUAGUCAACUGUGAGACGCUACUCCCGAGGCCACAGGUAUCCUACCUGGUGACCACCUACCUGUGCUGGGGCGCCGGCGCCUUGAUGCUGUUGGCCGGUGAGGG